GAUGAACGCUGGCUACAGGCUUAACACAUGCAAGUCGAGGGGCAGCAUGCCGGUUGCUUGCAACCGGUGAUGGCGACCGGCGCACGGGUGAGUAACGCGUAUCCGACCUUCCCGCGACCAAGGGAUAACCUGCCGAAAGGCAGACUAAUACCUUAUGUCCUCCUUUGAAGGCAUCUGACGAGGAGCAAAGAUCCGUCGGUCACGGAUGGGGAUGCGUCCGAUUAGCUUGUUGGCGGGGCAACGGCCCACCAAGGCUUCGAUCGGUAGGGGUUCUGAGAGGAAGGCCCCCCACACUGGAACUGAGACACGGUCCAGACUCCUACGGGAGGCAGCAGUGAGGAAUAUUGGUCAAUGGGCGGAAGCCUGAACCAGCCAAGUAGCGUGCAGGACGACGGCCCUACGGGUUGUAAACUGCUUUUAUGCGGGGAUAAAGUUGCCCACGUGUGGGCUUUUGCAGGUACCGCAUGAAUAAGGACCGGCUAAUUCCGUGCCAGCAGCCGCGGUAAUACGGAAGGUCCGGGCGUUAUCCGGAUUUAUUGGGUUUAAAGGGAGCGCAGGCCGCCGUGCAAGCGUGCCGUGAAAAGCAGCGGCCCAACCGCUGCCCUGCGGCGCGAACUGCUUGGCUUGAGUGCGCCGGAAGCGGGCGGAAUUCGUGGUGUAGCGGUGAAAUGCUUAGAUAUCACGAAGAACCCCGAUUGCGAAGGCAGCCCGCUGUGGCGCCACUGACGCUGAGGCUCGAAGGUGCGGGUAUCGAACAGG
rnacentral:rRNA from 1 species